AAGUCAUAACAAGGUUUCCGUAGGUAAACCUGCGGAAGGAUCAUUAAAAAAAUUCAGUAAAAAAGUAAGGUAAGUGGCCUUCCCACAAGAAGCGACGUGAGGGGGGGAAUCGUGAGAUCGAGGGUGGAGCACGACUCUGAGUAGCAAGUAUCCCUACCAUUACUCUUUUGCCUCAAGAGAUAUCCCCGGGAGAGGUGUACCCUUUGCUUGCUAUGGGGCUCUGUGGGGAUUUUUUUUUCAACUCGCCUGUGGCCGGUCACCUUUUUCGAGGAAUAUCAGGGCCCUGUGGGGGGAUUCAUUCAUAUUAUGAGGCUGGAUAAAGACUCACCAUGGUUUUACGGGUAAUGAAGAAUUGGGGUUCAAUUCCAGAGAGGGAAGCCUGAGAAAGGUUAUCACAUCCAAAGGAAAAAAAUUGGCUCUCC
rnacentral:misc_RNA from 1 species